UUUCCGUAGGUGAACCUGCGGAAGGAUCAUUAUUGUAUAACCGAGGGGCGAGGGCUGUCGCUGACCCGAAAGGUCGUGCACGCCCGAGUGCCCUCACACAAAUCCAUCUCACCCCUAUGUGCACCACCGCGUGGGUCCCCCUUUGGCUUGUUCGGAGGGGGGCUUACGUUUUCACACAAACUUUGUAUGCAGUGUAGAAUGUAUUUUUUGUUUUUGCGAUCGCGCAAUCAAUACAACUUUCAACAACGGAUCUCUUGGCUCUC
rnacentral:misc_RNA from 1 species